UUAUUAACUUCCGGGUACAUCAACAUCUCAGAUUGCACUGAGCUGUGUAGAGAGUGGUAUACAUAGAUAUAGCGUUAUCAAUCGAUUAUGUGGAAGUUUAACGAGAUAAACAUGGGAAUUGAAGCAUUAGUGGAGUGGUCGAGGAUUCUUCGCUUCGUGUUUGACGAAUUACGUGUAAUAACCGCCAGUGUACAAGCAUCGACGAGGGUACGUCUUGCAGAUAAAGAGCAGAUAUGCCUUGAAUCUGAGGAUAAAGGUGUUGUGUAUUGUGCAGUCAUCAUUAAUGUGGAUGUCUGAUGCCAGUAUGCUCAUAGUGGGGCAGUAUAAGUGUCGAUCUUCAUAUGGCAGCAAAUUUUCAAAGGCAGAUAUAAGAAGGCAAAUAAAACUGUUCAAUGUAAAAUACGCCAGUAGUUGGAUAAAACAUCCAAAGUCGGCAGUCAAAGGUCACAACAACAAUGGAGGAAUUAACUGCAUCCUCAUUCCGCAGGGCAACAGGCCAUUUUCAGCAACCCCUGAAAUUCUUAAUUGAGGCUAAGUGCCCAUUUUCAGCUCGAACAAUGACAAUUAAAGAGGCCUGUGCAAAUGUUGGGAUUUCCCUCUUGAAUGUGAUGUAAGAGAUGGUUCACUGCCCAUUAAAACAAAAUAUGAAUAUUGGCAUCAGAUUCAAGGACAACAACACCUGAAAGACACCCAAUGCUGUGAUUUGCUAGUGUGGAUUCCUAGUGACACUCAAAUACAUUGACAAAGAUGUAUUAUGGUCAACUUUUUAAGCGUGAUAGAGUUUAAUUAUAAUAAUAAAGUAUUUUUGCAGUCUAGAACACACACACAUAACCACAUGUACAUAUACUUUAUUAUGAUAUCAGUGGUGCAUCUAUCAAAGUUAUGUAAUUACAAGUAUAUUUAUUGAAUAAACAUUAUAGACAGAGUUUUUCUUAUUUUAGAUGAACCAAAAUUUGUAUUGACAUAGUGUCCAGCUUUACGAAAAUCAUUGAAUUACAUGCAUUCACUAAAAACAAUGGAUUUUACUUCUUUUUUAAUAAUGCAGAUUUGAAAACCUUCAG